CCUACGUGAGGCAGCAGUGGGGAAUAUUGCGCAAUGGGCGAAAGCCUGACGCAGCGACGCCGCGUGAGGGAUGAAGGUCUUCGGAUCGUAAACCUCUGUCAGCAGGGAAGAACGGUCACUGUGCUAAUCAGCAGUGAAUUGACGGUACCUGCAAAGGAAGCACCGGCUAACUCCGUGCCAGCAGCCGCGGUAAUACGGAGGGUGCGAGCGUUAAUCGGAAUUACUGGGCGUAAAGCGCUCGUAGGCGGUAUGUCAAGUCAAGGGUGAAAUCCCCGCGCGCAACGUGGGAACUGCCUUUGAAACUGGCAAACUGGAGUGUGUGAGAGGAUAGUGGAAUUCCAGGUGUAGGAGUGAAAUCCGUAGAUAUCUGGAGGAACAUCAGUGGCGAAGGCGACUAUCUGGCACAUAACUGACGCUGAGGAGCGAAAGCGUGGGUGGCAAACAGGAUUAGAUACCCUGGUAGUC
rnacentral:rRNA from 1 species